rnacentral:rRNA from 1 species
UGGGGAAUAUUGCACAAUGGGCGCAAGCCUGAUGCAGCCAUGCCGCGUGUGUGAAGAAGGCCUUCGGGUUGUAAAGCACUUUCAGCGGGGAGGAAGGCGAUAAGGUUAAUAACCUCAUCGAUUGACGUUACCCGCAGAAGAAGCACCGGCUAACUCCGUGCCAGCAGCCGCGGUAAUACGGAGGGUGCAAGCGUUAAUCGGAAUUACUGGGCGUAAAGCGCACGCAGGCGGUCUGUCAAGUCGGAUGUGAAAUCCCCGGGCUCAACCUGGGAACUGCAUUCGAAACUGGCAGGCUAGAGUCUUGUAGAGGGGGGUAGAAUUCCAGGUGUAGCGGUGAAAUGCGUAGAGAUCUGGAGGAAUACCGGUGGUGAAGGCGGCCCCCUGGACAAAGACUGACGCUCAGGUGCGAAAGCGUGGGGAGCAAACAGG